AGAAAAUGAAUCCUGAGUCAUGAAAGCCUCCUGCACAAUGCUCUCCAGGUCCAUUCAUGCUGUUGCAAAUGAGCCAUCCUGGGCUUCCUGGAUGCUGGUGUCAGCUCAUUUGCGAUAAGGAAGGCUGAGGAAGAUGCUGUUAUGGUUUAAAGUACGUCAAGGACCAUAAUUGGUUUAUAAAGGGAAGAGUGGAAAAACAUACAGAGAAGAUCAUGGGCGAGCGGGAAGCCAUCACCUAGCUUUGAUGCUGUGCUUUGUGGAUGAUUCAACUCUGGGUGAUAGGGUUGAACAGCUCUGCACCUCCCAGGCCAGAACACUGGAAAUGCUAAUCCCUUAGCAAUGUCCUCAGCAGUGGAAAAUCCAAGCAGUGAAGAAAGUGCUCCUGAACCGCAGGCCUGCAGCACCAUUGUGAGGUGCAGGUUGUGUAAGUGGGCAGGGAACCUGUGACACUGAAUCAGAGAUAGUUACAGAGAGCACACAAGUACGCAUCAUUCAUGAUACAAGAAUGCACCAUUCAUUAUUUACGCACGCAAUUCUGUUCUCAGACAUAUUACGAGCCCUGCAUGUGGUACAAAGUUUCCAUUCAUCCAUCCGUUCACUGAAGAUAUUGAACCAGAUAAUGUGAUAAACUCAAGAUACAAACAUGGAAAAGAAUAUGGUCCUUGUCUUCUAGGAAUUUACAGGCGAAGGAGAAGAGACAGAGAAAGGAACUGGUUCUGACUAUACUGGAAACCAUCCUGAAGGAGGUUUGAAGCAUGGCCUUUUGCUCUUUCUAGUUCUGAGUCAGUUGAAAGUCACAGGGGAGAAACACACAGCAGCAGGUGGGUGCUAAUUGUGAUAAAAACUGCAUUGAAGGGCCUGGUCAGCUUGGCUCAGUGGUUGAGUGUUCAACCUAUGAACCAGGAGGUCAUGUGUCAAUUCCCAGUCAGGACACAUGCCGGGUUGUGGGCUAGAUACCCAGUGUGGGGCGUGCAGGA